GUCUACGGCCAUACCACCCUGAACACGCCCGAUCUUGUCUGAUAUUGGAAGCUAACUAAGCAGGGUCGGGCCUGGUUAGUACUUGGAUGGGAGAAUACUUUCUGGACCCCAAGGUGGGUGAAAAUG
rnacentral:rRNA from 1 species